rnacentral:rRNA from 1 species
GUGCCAGCCGCCGCGGUAAAACGUAGGUGACGAGCGUUAUCCGGAUUUACUGGGCGUAAAGCGUGUGCAGGCGGUUGAGUAAGUGGUGUAUGAAAGCUCCGGGCUUAACUCGGAGAGGUUAUGCCAGACUGCUCGGCUUGAGGCAGAGAGAGGGACAUGGAAUUCCGGGUGUAGUGGUGAAAUGCGUAGAGAUCCGGAGGAACUCCAGAGGCGAAGGCGGUGUCCUAGCUCUGACCUGACGCUCAGACACGAAAGCAUGGGGAGCGAACGGGAUUAGAAACCCGGGUAGUCC